AGAAGCUUCUUCAUCUCUGACUGGAUGGUGGGGAAUGGAAGAAUUUAUACUGCUUGCAGAAAGCUGGUCAUUUGCAUUCUUUUAGUAAGUCAUUAAGGUCACCUAGAGGUUUAUUAGAAAUACAUAAAGGCAGAA